AUUGAACGCUGGCGGCAUGCCUUACACAUGCAAGUCGAACGGUAACAGGUCUUCGGAUGCUGACGAGUGGCGAACGGGUGAGUAAUACAUCGGAACGUGCCUAGUAGCGGGGGAUAACUACUCGAAAGAGUGGCUAAUACCGCAUGAGAUCUACGGAUGAAAGCAGGGGAUCGCAAGACCUUGUGCUACUAGAGCGGCCGAUGGCAGAUUAGGUAGUUGGUGGGAUAAAAGCUUACCAAGCCGACGAUCUGUAGCUGGUCUGAGAGGACGAUCAGCCACACUGGGACUGAGACACAGCCCAGACUCCUACGGGAGGCAGCAGUGGGGAAUUUUGGACAAUGGGCGCAAGCCUGAUCCAGCAAUGCCGCGUGCAGGAUGAAGGCCUUCGGGUUGUAAACUGCUUUUGUACGGAACGAAAAGCCCUGGGUUAAUACCCUGGGGUCAUGACGGUACCGUAAGAAUAAGCACCGGCUAACUACGUGCCAGCCGCCGCAGUAA
rnacentral:rRNA from 1 species